rnacentral:rRNA from 1 species
AUUGAACGCUGGCGGCAGGCCUAACACAUGCAAGUCGAGCGGAUGAAGGGAGCUUGCUCCUGGAUUCAGCGGCGGACGGGUGAGUAAUGCCUAGGAAUCUGCCUGGUAGUGGGGGAUAACGUCCGGAAACGGGCGCUAAUACCGCAUACGUCCUGAGGGAGAAAGUGGGGGAUCUUCGGACCUCACGCUAUCAGAUGAGCCUAGGUCGGAUUAGCUAGUUGGUGGGGUAAAGGCCUACCAAGGCGACGAUCCGUAACUGGUCUGAGAGGAUGAUCAGUCACCCUGGAACUGAGACACGGUACAGACUCCUACGGGAGGCAGCAGUGGGGAAUCUUGGACGAUGGGCGAAAGCCUGAUCCAGCCAUGCCGCGUGUGUGCAGAAGGUCUUCGGAUUGUAAAGCAAUUUAAGUUGGGAGGAAGGGCAGUAAGUUAAUACCUUGCUGUUUUGACGUUACCAACAGAAUAAGCACCGGCUAACUUCGUG